rnacentral:rRNA from 1 species
AGGACGAACGCUGGCGGCGUGCUUAACACAUGCAAGUCGAGCGAGAAACCUUCGGGUUUCUAGCGGCGGACGGGUGAGUAACACGUGGGUAACCUGCCUCAAAGAGGGGGAUAGCCUCCCGAAAGGGAGAUUAAUACCGCAUAAAAUCAUAGCUUCGCAUGAAGUAAUGAUUAAAGGAGUAAUCCGCUUUGAGAUGGGCCCGCGUCGCAUUAGCUAGUUGGAGAGGUAACGGCUUACCAAGGCAACGAUGCGUAGCCGACCUGAGAGGGUGAUCGGCCACAUUGGAACUGAGAUACGGUCCAGACUCCUACGGGAGGCAGCAGUGGGGAAUAUUGCACAAUGGGCGAAAGCCUGAUGCAGCAACGCCGCGUGAGUGAAGAAGGUCUUCGGAUUGUAAAACUCUGUCUUUUGGGACGAUAAUGACGGUACCAAAGGAGGAAGCCACGGCUAACUACGUGCCAGCAGCCGCGGUAAUACGUAGGCGGCAAGCGUUGCCCGGAUUUACUGGGCGUAAAGGAUGUGUAGGCGGAUAUUUAAGUGAGAUGUGAAAUCCCCGAGCUCAACUUGGGGCGUGCAUUUCAAACUGGAUAUCUAGAGUGCAGGAGAGGAAAGCGGAAUUCCUAGUGUAGCGGUGAAAUGCGUAGAGAUUAGGAAGAACAUCAGUGGCGAAGGCGGCUUUCUGGACUGUAACUGACGCUGAGGCAUGAAAGCGUGGGGAGCAAACAGGAUUAGAUACCCUGGUAGUCCACGCCGUAAACGAUGAGUACUAGGUGUAGGAGGUAUCGACUCCUUCUGUGCCGCAGUUAACACAAUAAGUACUCCGCCUGGGAAGUACGGUCGCAAGAUUAAA